UAAGCAGAGAUUUUUGGGGAUUUCUAUUAUGUUACCUCUUUACCGUUUAGCUAUUCGUUGCUUGAGGAACCCUAUUCUUCCCUUACCAUAAUUUCACCUGAAAAAGACUCUCAAUCGGUAGCCAUUUCACAUACCCUUCGACUCCGGCAUUCCUCCCCUUCAUCCAAGGUCAGUUUCAACUACAGGGCAGCAAAUGGAUUUGCCACGAGCGCUUCUUGGUACUUUUCUUUUCCAAUUUCUCUUCCGCAUAAUUAUUAAUUUCUGGGCUCCAAAGAAAAGUACCAAGAAGCGCAAAUUGGGUCAUUCAAUCAGUCAUAGAGGACAAAGAAUUGGCUUCAAAGAAGAACAGUCAUUCUCAUGAACCUAAGAAGUUGCUGUUCCCAAAUGGCUCCAAAGCUUUGGAGGCUUCUUCUUCAGAGGUUGGAGGUGGUCAUGGUGAUGAUAGUGAUGGCCAUGAUGAUGUCGAGAAGUUGAGUAGUAGAGUAGUAGAGCAAUCAAUGCCUCUAUCGUUCUUGGAUUUGACACGUUUGCUGUAUCUAAGUUGCUUACAAUUGAUCAUGAUUAUUGGCAUGUAAGUUAUCUCCUAGGUUUUUCAUUUUUUUUUGCAUUUUAAUUUUAUUUCCUUUGAGAAGGGCAUUUUUGCUUGGUAGUAGUUUUCCUUGGUUUCACUUCUCUCUGUGCUAGAGUUGGUUAAUCUCUUUCGUUCGUCAUUUUAUGAUUUUAAUCUUGAAAGUUGUUGAGGUGUUUAUAACUUUCUAAACUAACCAUGAAAUCUGAAACAUUGCUUGUAAAAGAAAAAGAGGGUCCUUAUUUAUGAUUUGUGCUUUCCUGGAAAUUUGAGGUUUUAUGCAGAUUAGCUUUCAAAAACCAAGUGAAAGCUGGAGUCCUUAAAAUAAAAUGAAGUGAAAUCUAAAUGCCUCUUUUCGACUUUGACCGGACACGUAUGUUUAGAUCGGGCCUUGUUGGAUUUACUCUUCAUAGAUCCCUUUCUCAUUAUUAUUACCAGUUUUAAGAGGCUCUGCUUCCUUUCGAUGACUGGUGGGUGGUUCCAGCAAAAGUUAUCUUUGAUCAAACAAUUUGGGCUGCAAUCUAGAACAGUAUAUAUUAUGUAGUUUUGGGGUUCUUGUGUUUUGAAUCCUCGGCUAAUAUCUAUAAAGAACUGAAGGUAAUAUUUUGGCCUAUGCUGACUGUAAGAAGCUUUUCUUCUGUUUCUUUUGAUGCAUAUUUUGGGUGUCAAUGGUUGUGGUAUGCAUUGCAAACGAUGUAGUCUACUCCACCCAUGAUUUUUGAUAUACUGGAAUUCUAUUUCAUGCUUUAUUUGUUAGAGCAGGAGUUAUCAUAUAUGCUACUUUUUCUUUUACAUUAAUCACUGUCAAUGUAAAAUGUCUACCUCUUCUCCAUGAUGUAUUGGAGGAUUCAACCUUUCUUAACAGGUGUACCUUAAAAUCAGCUUAGAAAAAAUGUUGUGCGGAGAAAGAGAAAUCUGUAUAUUUUAAUUUAGUACUAUAGAUCAUUGGGAUAUUGAAAUGAUCAAAUGACUUUUAUGUACUGUUCUGCUUACUUGAUGGUUAA